rnacentral:rRNA from 25 species
UUAAAUUGAAGAGUUUGAUCAUGGCUCAGAUUGAACGCUGGCGGCAGGCCUAACACAUGCAAGUCGAACGGUAACAGGAAACAGCUUGCUGUUU